rnacentral:misc_RNA from 1 species
AUGAAUUUUAGGACUCUCUUUUUAGAGGUCCGACCCUUUCAUUUCCUUACACUGUGCACACACUUCUUUUCACACAUUUUAACACUAUAGUAUAAGAAUGUAACAGUCUCUUUAUUGAGCAUAAAUAAAAAUA